AAAAAAGGGAAAGGAAGAAAGGGUUUCACGUUACUUCUGCCGCAACCAAGUCCCAAAGAAAGAAACUAAAUACACCAACAAUUGAAUUGGCAAAUUUGAGAAGAUAUCGAGAUCCACUUUGUACCAGACAUGAAGAUUAGAAGGGGGAUUAAGGGAAGUGUUGGUUUUGCAAAUUGUGGAGCAAAAUAGAGAAGGAAGAGUUAGGCGGAAGCUUUGGUGCCGCAAGAAAAGUUAUUUUCAGCCAUAAGAUUUCAAGGUUAACACAAUCAGGAAGACUGAAAUGAGUGAAGUAGGCACAAAGAAAAAAUGGCAUUUUAGAAGGAGGAUUACUAGCAUUGAAAAGGUUGACACAUGGAGAAGUGGUUUCAAAAAGCUUUGUUGCAGGAUCUAGUCUAGAAGUUAAGAGAAUUCUUUCUAAAGUGAUUAUGACGUAGUUACACGUUGAAAUUACUGCCUUUUAUGAUUUACUCAGAUUUGAGUUUUACUUGAGAACAAAUUAUUUAAUUCGGCAUCAUCUAUUUGUGCAGAGUACUUCUUAGAUUGCUACUUUGUUCUUUAGUUAUAAUAUUAAAAGGCAUUUGGUUUACAUAUA